CAGUUUAAAGCUUUUCAAGCGUUUUAUUUACAUUAAAAAGAAAAUUGUUAAUUCAGUUUAAUCUGA
rnacentral:tRNA from 1 species